rfam:Triticum aestivum genome assembly, contig: Triticum_aestivum_CS42_TGACv1_scaffold_375257_5AL
CUCAUAUCUCCCUCCGUCCAGAAAUACUUAUCGGAGAACUGGAUGAAUCUAGACGUAUUUUAGAUAUAGAUGCAUCCAAUUUUAUCCAUCUCUCCGACAAGUAUUUCAGACAGAGAGAGUAUUUC